rnacentral:tRNA from 1 species
AAGCCUUUUAGUUUAAUUCGAGAAUUUUUACUUGUGGUGUAAAAGGUUUUUUGGC